AACACUGUAAACAACAGUCAAAAAAAAACAUAACAUGCUCGCACUUGAAAACCCUCGGCCUGACUUAUGAAAAUCUUCAAAAUAUUGACUGUCACUGAUAUGUUGAUUUGCAAUAUGCAAAAUGUUCGACACUGUGAAUUAAUACUGGAACUGAUUUGUGCAAUAGACGUAUAAAGGAAUCCAAGAUUUAUGUAAAACAGUCCAUACAGUGGUAAAGAAUUAAUGUAAAUGAACCAUAAGA